AUAUUCUCGUUUUAUAGAUGUGUCUCAGAGAGGGCAAGCAACUUGCCCAGGACCACACAGCCCGGGUGUGAACCCGGUCUGUCCUUCCCCCAAAGUCCCUCGCCCCGCAGUUAGUCAGCUGGAGGAUCAAACCGGGAUCUCAGGCCCACUGCCUCCAGAGGCCUGUGGGAUUUCUUGUUCUAGAAGCCUGAGGUUCUUCACCUCUGGUCCCAGGAUGGAUGGUGGUAGGAAGAGAGGGGCAGAGAGGGGAGGGUGUUUCUGCCAACUUGCAAAAUUGUCUGCAAAAUGUCGCCUCGGCGUUUUCGGUGGGGGAGAGGAGCUGUGCUCGCAAGAGAGUCUCUAGAGGGACGUGAAGAACCUUAGUUCAAAACUUUGAGUGGAGGUAAAUCUGUUCCCGUCCCUCCCACCCAAGCCUCUGUCCCUAAGUGCAUGGCAACAGUGUGUCCCCAACCGACCCCUCCUCACAGCCUCCUCUUGGGGCAUAGAGGCAGCGGGCAGGUGGGAGGCCUGGAUACUGGGCUCGUCUAACUUGAACUAGCUGUGUGAUCUUGGCAAGCCCCGGGCACCAUCAGGGAGGACUCUUUGUAGCAAAGGCUAAAGCCUGCAGAUACGGCCGGGUCCAGGCUUCCGAGUGACAUCACCAGGGUCGGUCUCCCUCCACCCCUCUGGUCUACCUCAUGGGGGGGGGGGGCGGCUUUCAGCAGCGCUAGGCUUCACAUCCUUCCAAAUUGAAAAGUACAUACUGAAGCUCCAAGGGGACAUGCUCAAUGUCAUUAGAGAAAUGUAAAUCAAAGCCAUGAGAUGCCAUUUCGUAUCUAUGAAGUUGGUCAUAAAUAAAUU